rnacentral:rRNA from 1 species
CAGUCGCCACGGGAAUACGAAGGGUGCAAGCGUUACUCGGAAUUACUGGGCGUAAAGCGUGCGUAGGUGGUGGUUUAAGUCCGUUGUGAAAGCCCUGGGCUCAACCUGGGAAUUGCAGUGGAUACUGGGUCACUAGAGUGUGGUAGAGGAUAGUGGAAUUUCCGGUGUAGCAGUGAAAUGCGUAGAGAUCGGAAGGAACAUCUGUGGCGAAGGCGACUAUCUGGGCCAACACUGACACUGAGGCACGAAAGCGUGGGGAGCAAACAGGAUUAGAUACCCCGGUAGUCCCUGUCUCUUUACA